CGGGGUUUCACCAUGUUGGCCAGGCUGGUCUCAAACUACUGACCCGCCUCAGCCUCCCAAAGUGCUGGGAUUACAGGCAUGAGCCACCAUGCCCGGCCCUGAGUCUGAUUCUUAAGCUGGGUGCUCUGAGGAACAUUUCGGGAGCCUCCAGAACUGAAGAGGGGGCCAACUCUCUGGAGAAAAAUGAAUGGAUGUAGGCCCAAAGGAGCCGAAUGUUUUCCUUGGCUGAAUGGCAAGCAAGCACCAAGUGUCCACAGUUUCCGGAGUGUGGAUAUGAACAGCCGUCUUGGGUCCUGAGGUGGAAGCCAUGUGUGGAAGAUGGAGGGCAUCGGUUAGAAGGAGUCUAGUCCCUGAUGGUCACUGAGCUGCAGAACCAGCCUGGGCUGCUUCCUGCUGGAUGUCACUUACUAGAGAGCGAAAUUAAAUGUGCUUCAGCUACUGUUACUUUGGGUUUUCUGUCAUUUGUAGCUGAAAUAAUCCUAAUCAAUAUGAGAUAUAUUAAGUAAACAAAAAUGCAAAUGAAAACGAUUAUGAAUUGUAUGAUUCCAAUUUUAUCUUCUUUUAUGUGAUUUAAGUCUUUAACUUUUAACCCAGAUGAUUUUAUUUUAAAAUGUGUGUUUAUAUACAUCCAUAUGUACAUAGAAAAAAGACAGGAAUGUUGAAAGCUAAAGUAUUAGUAGAGAUUAUUUCAGGAUGGUAGGUUAUAAGGAUUUCAUGUGCUUAUUUAUUUACCUUUUGUUUGUUCAUCUGUAUUUGCUAAUUUUUCUAUUUUUUUAUUUUUAUUUUUUGAGACAGGAUCUCACUUUGUCACUCAGGCUGGAGUACAGUGGCACAAUCAUGGCUCACCACAGCCUUGACCUCCUGGGCUCAGGUGAUCCUCCCACCUCAGCCUCCUGAAUAGCUAGGACUUGGUACCUGCCACCACGCCUGGAUAAUUUUUGUAUUUCUUGUUGAGACAGGGUUUCGUCAUGUUGUCCAGGCUGAUCUCGAACUCCUGCGCUCAAACAAUCCACUGCCUCAGUCUCCCAAAGUGCUAGGAUUACAGGCGUGGACCACCAUGCCCGGCCUCUAAUUUUUCUUCAACAAAACUGUAUUACUUUUUAAAUAAGAAAAAAUAAUAAAAGGUAUAAAGUGUAUGACUUAAUGAGAUCCAUAUGUAUUGCAGUAAUAAAAAAAACCUGAAGCCAAGGCGGGUGGAUCAUUUGAGGUCAGGAGUUCGAGACCAGCCUGGACAACAUGGUGAAACCUCGUUUCUACUAAAAAUACAAAAAUUAGCCAGGAGUGGUGGUAUGUGCCCGUGAUCCCAGAUACCUGGGAGGCUGAGGCAGGAGAAUUGCUUGAAACCAGGAGGUGGAGGUUACAGUGAGCCAAGAAUCCACCACUGCACUCCAGCCUGGGCGACAGAGCGAGACUGUGUCUCAAAAACAAAAAAACAAAACAAAACAAAAAAAACCUUAUUCUCAGAAUGAAGAUCUGAAAUAAGAAACAAACAAACAAACAAAAAAUAUUUUAAAAAGGAAAUAGAAAACAAAUAACUUAUUCAUGAUUCCAUGGGAAAAAAGACUGAAAAUAAGUGUUCUAAAGUAAAUAAGGGCAUGAGAAAUUGUUCAAAAUAUAGUGUUAAAGAGAAAAAAGGUUAUUCAACAAUAUGAUGCCAUUGUUUUUGAUAAAAAGAAUUAAACAACAUAAAUGUAUGCUAGAAAAAGAACUAGAAGGAAAUAAGCUGAUAUAUUGGUGGUCUGGUUCCAGAGGAGAGAUUUUAGUGAUUCUUAUUUUCCCCUUUAUACUUUUGGUAUUUUCUAAAUAUUUCUCUAAUAAACCUGUGCUAAUCUUAUUUAUUUCAAAAUGUUUCUACUUAGAGAAAUUUUAACAAGACAGAAAAGCAUGUUAUAAAGAAUAAUAAAAACACACACACAUCGCCACUGCUCAAAAUUAAAAUGAUUAAUUUUUGUUAUAUUUAAUUCCUGUCUUUAUUUUAAAGAAAUAAACAGUAACAGUAAAGUCCCA
rnacentral:lncRNA from 10 species